rnacentral:lncRNA from 1 species
UCAACUUUUUAAGCUACACCAAACAAUCACUUCAUUUCUUUACAAUUUAAUUGAUGCUUUUUUACCUUCUCUGCCCCUUUGUACACAUCUGCAUCAGUUUUAAGAUAUAAAAUAGAGGAAAACAGGGUUAUAUUUGUUUCAGAUGAGGAUGUAUUAUGAUUGAAUUGUGAAGAUUAAUAGUUUUCCAGUGUGGAGAGGGGUAGAUUGCAGUGGACAAUACUAAGCGAGAUAGAGCAGUAAAAAUUUUGUUAUUAUAUUAUCUAGUCUUGUCGUGUAUUGUGUAACAAACAUGAGUUAGAUAAAUAAAUGUUUGGAUUGGC